rnacentral:lncRNA from 1 species
UUGAAGGCAUUGAGAAGGGGCUAUCAUCACCAUGGUCACCAUUUCUGUUGAUGUCAACAGAACAACAUUGCCCGAUGACCCACCACUAUGGAAGAUCAAGGACUGAACUAUGAGCCGUGCUGGAUCCAUGGUGGUGACUAUCUCUUGCUUCCUAUAAAGACUCCUUGCUGUUUCUUUCCUACCUUUUCUAUUGCUGUCCUUCCCUUCCCCAUUACCCUAAUUCAUAAUAGUGUCCAUCCUCCCCUUCCCCAUCUCCCUAAUUAAGAUUGGUCAGACCAACAUUUGAUUGUUUCUUAAUCUCACACUGGGUAUACAGAUAUUAAAAGAACCUCUUCUCCCUCCUAUAAAUUGCAGUGAGACAGAAGCCUUACCUUCAGUUUACCUGGAAUUCAUAAGGAACAAUUACUUACUUUAUUUUUUCCUGGCUGAAUUGCAGGGGCUGACACCAUUUGAGGAUGCUUCUUGUUUCCAUGUCUCUUAGCUAAGAUAUGCAAGUGGGAUAUCUGCACCCUCACUUGCAGACAUCUCUUCAACUGCUGCUACGUGUUCAAGCACUCAUUGGGCUGAAUAAGCCAGGGGUUGGUUUGGGCAGGGAAGUUUGCUAGCAGAAUUGCUGUAGGCUUGGACAACCUUCACCUCUCACACAGCAUCUCCAAGAAAAAAAAAACAAUGUAGAGAGGAGAAAAGGGAAAAUAAUUCCUUUCCCUGUGAUUUGUUUGUUGCGCAGCCUGGCUGGGAAGGAUAAGGUGUGCAUUAAAACCACUUCAGUGCACCCUCAAUUAAUACCACAAACGUUGCCUUCCCAGCCUGGUCUUCCUGAAUUCUCACAAGUCCACUCAAGCUUUCAAAGUGUCAGUCAAGCAUUUGGAUUUUCAAACUCAUGGAUUACUGCUUUGAGCACCAGGGAUUGGAGCAGUAAUACCACUGUUAAAUCUCAUGGUACUUACUAUUCUCUCACAUCAUCAGCUUCCAAGUUCUUAACUGGUUGGCUAAGGCAAAGCUGGGCAGCUGCCAAAAUGAGCAACACUGGUGGAUGUAGAGGAGAGCUGGACAAGGAUGGAGCAUGCUUGAGGAGAUGA